rnacentral:rRNA from 1 species
CUGACGGAGCAACGCCGCGUGAGUGAUGAAGGUUUUCGGAUCGUAAAACUCUGUUGUUAGGGAAGAACAAGUACCGUUCGAAUAGGGCGGUACCUUGACGGUACCUAACCAGAAAGCCACGGCUAACUACGUGCCAGCAGCCGCGGUAAUACGUAGGUGGCAAGCGUUGUCCGGAAUUAUUGGGCGUAAAGCGCGCGCAGGCGGUUUCUUAAGUCUGAUGUGAAAGCCCCCGGCUCAACCGGGGAGGGUCAUUGGAAACUGGGGAACUUGAGUGCAGAAGAGGAGAGUGGAAUUCCACGUGUAGCGGUGAAAUGCGUAGAGAUGUGGAGGAACACCAGUGGCGAAGGCGACUCUCUGGUCUGUAACUGACGCUGAGGCGCGAAAGCGUGGGGAGCGAACAGGAUUAGAUACCCUGGUAGUCCACGCCGUAAACGAUGAGUGCUAAGUGUUAGAGGGUUUCCGCCCUUUAGUGCUGCAGCAAACGCAUUAAGCACUCCGCCUGGGGAGUACGGUCGCAAGACUGAAACUCAAAGGAAUUGACGGGGGCCCGCACAAGCGGUGGAGCAUGUGGUUUAAUUCGAAGCAACGCGAAGAACCUUACCAGGUCUUGACAUCCUCUGACAACCCUAGAGAUAGGGCUUCCCCUUCGGGGGCAGAGUGACAGGUGGUGCAUGGUUGUCGUCAGCUCGUGUCGUGAGAUGUUGGGUUAAGUCCCGCAACGAGCGCAACCCUUGAUCUUAGUUGCCAGCAUUCAGUUGGGCACUCUAAGGUGACUGCCGGUGACAAACCGGAGGAAGGUGGGGAUGACGUCAAAUCAUCAUGCCCCUUAUGACCUGGGCUACACACGUGCUACAAUGGGCAGAACAAAGGGCAGCGAAGCCGCGAGGCUAAGCCAAUCCCACAAAUCUGUUCUCAGUUCGGGAUCGCAGUCUGCACUCGACUGCGUGAGCUGGGAAUCGCUAAGUAAU